CCUGCAGCACCAAGCUCCAUUAGAGAGCCCUUUUACUCCUCAUUUCCUAAACUCCCAUCUAGUACCACAUAGCACAAGGAAUGUGUCCUGAACUGCUGAAGGCCAUUAUUACAUGAUACGCUGAUAGAUGCUGACAGAGAAGACAGUGGAAUCUGCCUUCCCUAAAAACAUGUUUAAGAAUGGAAGCUCUCCCAGAGGACUGGGGUCCCAUCCAAGGACAGAGAGAAUGACAGACACGCCACAGAGUGACAUAGACAGACCAAGGGGACCAUGUCACUGCCUCAGUGAAGGGAGUCAAAGAAAUGGCAGAAGAAUGAAAGCCGUGAGCCCAGUAACACUUCUCUUUGACUGCAGUGAUGCCAUAAAGUUUGUUAUAGAAAAUGGACAUUUUCAGUACAAUGGAAAAUGUGAUGUUCACAGUAAAUGCCCUGGCGAUAGACUGUCCCAGUGUUCUUCUUCCCAUCUGUGAAGACUUCAGCCACUGAGCUCUGUAGCUGUCCUCUUUUGUCUUAGCAUCAGGACUAGUCUUCAAAUCAAGACCCUAAAUCACAGAUGCCACAAGGACCUCGACACAGGAAUUCCUCUUCUCACUGACUGGAACAGAACCGGACAUCUCAGGACCAGAAGAAACAUCCCUGACUGUUCCCUCUUGGGAUCACUUCAACUAAAGAAUUUCAACCCAUAUGUUGUAGUUGAAAGCUGUCCGCUGGAAAUUUUAACUCAUGGGUCCUAGCUGUGUUGGGCCACACAGGACCAAGUUUAAUCCCUCUCCCCAAUGACAACCUUUCAAACAGCUAAAACCCGUUAUCAGUCUCACUGCACUUUCCCUCUCUCCAGCUUAAGCUGUAUGACAUGUUAUCAAGACCCUUCCCUCCUGAUCACACUCACCUGUGUGUGCCUCACCUUGUCUAUCAUUCUUAAACAGUGAUGCCCAGAAUGAAUACAGCUUCCAGGUGCUCACUGACAGCACAGCAUGUUUACAGAAUAAAACAUCUUCUGUCACCUGUCUCUUCUCCCACAGCAAGAGUUCAGUUCUCCACUGUAGAGAAAUUCCCAUACAGCCUCCUUAUUGGACUACUCACCACUAGAGUACUCAUACUAUUCUACAUGUUUUUCAUGAUAAAAUUAUAAUAAUAGGAUAAUAGCACUUCAAUAAUGCAAUUAUUUCUGAAGGCCCCCUAUUUGCAGCAUGAACAUCAGUAAAAUUCUGUUCCUUCAGAAGACAUGAAAGAUGGCAUCUUGUCAUUGUGUUUAGCUCCGUUUCUCCCAAAUUUUCUACUCAUUUUUCCAUGGGUUGAGUUGUGAAUCCCUAAAAUUCACCUGUUGAAGUACUAACCCACCGGUACCUCACAAUGCGGUCUUUUUAGAAAUAAAGGUCACUGGAAAUUGCGUGUGUGGUUAAGACGGGGUCAUUUAGGAUGGACCCUAAUCUCCUAUAAGAGGUACAUUUAUAAAAUAGGGGCAUAUGGAUACAGAGACACAGAGAAAAGGAUACCACGUGAAGAUUAAGACAGUUUUCUACACCAAGGAAGAGAGGCCUGAAACAGAUUCCUCCCCUCAGACUCCUCAGAAUGAGCCAACCCUGCCAACAAACUGAUUUUAAACUUCUGGCUUCCAGAACCAUGAGACAAUCUCUUAUUUAAGCCACCCUGUGUGUAGUACUUUGUUUUGGCAGCCCUAAUGAUCUAAUACAUCAUUCUUGCCCACUAACCACAAAAAAAAAAAAAAAAUCCCAACCUCCAGCAAAUGAAAAUAUGAAGAAAUAAUCA